AAAGAUUUAACAUCAACCCCUGGAUUUCUUUUGAGGAUACAGAAGUACAGGAGAUGCUCAGCAAUCUGGCAAAGAAGGCUGGCUGGACAUGAAAUGUUAUGGGAGUUAUGUCUAGCUUUGGAUCCACUGAAUUCACAUAUUACAGAAAUCAGAUCAGAGCAAAGCUGAUGGGUAACAAAGAAGUUGAUGUAGAGGGUCCCUCCAUUAAGUCUCUACAUAAUUAUCGAUGAAAAUGUUUCCUUCCUCCUACAAUUAUGCUAACAAAUCCAGAGAGGGAAUACUUCACACUGAUGCUAGUAUGAUGCUAGUAUGAAAACAAGAUUAUUCUGUGCCACAAACAAAUUGUUCAGAAAGAGGACAUUGGUGGAUUUGCAUUUUGGGUACAGUUCAAAGAAUUUUCAAUAUGAUGAUGGAAGAUCAGAGGGAGGACAAAUGGGAAAAGUUGACAGAGAAAGAAAAGAAUUAGGAAAUAUCUGGAAUAAAUAUGAAUGAGAAGGAUGUACUUAAUUUUGUCAGACU